CCCUUUGGGGACAGAUCCCACCUUCCUGCUGCCUCUGCCUCUGCCCGGAGGCUCGGAGACGGGCCUGCGCGGGGUCUUGCUGGGAGCGGGGUCCAGAAAGCCUCCUCUGCGAUGCCAGCCCCACCUUUACCGGAGGGGAAACAGACCCAGAGAGCUCAGGAGCCGCUCUGGCCGAGCAGGGCACAUGCAGACGAACGGUGAGCCCUGGGAAGUGUGGCCCUCAACACAUCAGUGACAGCAGCCCCACGAGAACAUCACUGGCAGGCCACCUGGAGCAGUACCUGCGGGCAUUCCCAGUGCAUGUAACCCCCUGCACUCAGCUGCCCAUCUCUGUACCUGUCAUCUGAGGGUCACCACCUUUUCCAGAUUUCUAAAGAGUGAAUAUAACACUGGACAGUUUCUAAUGUUGGUUUAAUCGCGUAGACAGAGCUGCAAAGGAUACAGUGAAAAACACUGCUGUCCCUUCUCUCCACUGCUGCUUCCCCAUUUAUCCACCCCCAGUGCUUUAUGGUAUGUCUUAGAUGCAACAAAAUUACUUCUCCAUGGGUGUGAAAUGUAUCAAUUUAUAUAUAUAUGAAAAUAAAAAUCCAAAGUGAGAGGCAGCAAGCAUUUGAGAUCACACACAAAAUAAAUAUUCUGGAAGCACUGAUUCCAGCAGAAACCCAAACAGCAUUCUGAUUAUGGAGUGAAGGCAGAGGGUUUUAUGAGAAAAAGAAGGGGAAAUACAUGGGUAAAAGGAAUUUCUAUUGGUACUAAUAAAGCGAAGUCAUUUUUCA